GUUGAUAUAUAGUUUGAAAUGAUGCAAUUAUUAUUAUUUGUAUAAUUAUUAAGUGCAUAAUUUCAAACUAUAUACCAAC